UCCNGAGGGCUUCGGCAGAACUAGUCAGU
rnacentral:piRNA from 1 species